GCGCUUAGAUCACCUCAGUUUACUGGGCAUCAGUCUUGCAGUUGGGUUUUUCUUGUGCUGCCAUAGACAUGGUUUGCUAGUAAACAGCUGUGCUAUUUCCUGGAAGUGGGAUCUUCGGUCACUGUAUGACCUGGAUACCAAUACCAUGCUGAUAUACUUGGCCUGCACUGUUUUAUUAAUAGCUUCAGUCUUGUCCCUUUUCGAAUACUAGUAUGAAGUGUCAGGGAUUAGGACUCUUCUUAUCAGCUAAUUGAACCCUCAAAUGUUGCUCUGUUUUUAUCAUGUAGCUGUUCUUUGUGUUAUCCUUGCUUUACCAAACUCAUGUUAAUUGUGCUGUUUAAUCACUGAUUAUGAAUAUGUUUGCACAGAUAUGGAACUGGUGCCGACUUCUGAACCGCUAAAGCAUCUAUCCCACUAGGCCAGUACUCACCAUGCUUGAUGAUAAACCUGCAGAUUUCUGGUCAGAUUCUGCAGCUCCGCGAUCUCUACCUGCCAGCAAGAACAAGAAGUUCAGAGAUCCAGCUCCAAUCUCCAUGCGUGGAGGAAACAUACAUAGAUCGUUGAAAUAUCUCGCCUUGUAAGUGUGUCAAACACACAAUGUUGCCAAUUGCUUUUCCUCCUUCAUUAUGAAAUAAUAAUUCCCA
rnacentral:lncRNA from 1 species